AGAGUUUGAUCAUGGCUCAGGAUGAACGCUGGCGGUAUGCUUAACACAUGCAAGUCGAACGAAUCCCUUCGGGGAUGAGUGGCGGACGGGUGAGUAACGCGUGAGAAUCUGCCUUUUGGUCGGGGACAACCACUGGAAACGGUGGCUAAUACCGGAUAAGCCUGCGGGUAAAAGAUUAAUUGCCAAGAGAGGAGCUCGCGUCUGAUUAGCUAGUUGGUGAGGUAAAGGCUCACCAAGGCGGCGAUCAGUAGCUGGUCUGAGAGGAUGAUCAGCCACACUGGGACUGAGACACGGCCCAGACUCCUACGGGAGGCAGCAGUGGGGAAUUUUCCGCAAUGGGCGAAAGCCUGACGGAGCAAGACCGCGUGAGGGAGGAAGGCUCUUGGGUUGUAAACCUCUUUUGUCAGGGAAGAACACAAUGACGGUACCUGAAGAAUCAGCAUCGGCUAACUCCGUGCCAGCAGCCGCGGUAAUACGGAGGAUGCAAGCGUUAUCCGGAAUUAUUGGGCGUAAAGCGUCCGCAGGUGGCACUUCAAGUCUGCUGUCAAAGACCGGGGCUUAACUUCGGAAAGGCAGUGGAAACUGAACAGCUAGAGUAUGGUAGGGGCAGAGGGAAUUCCUGGUGUAGCGGUGAAAUGCGUAGAGAUCAGGAAGAACAUCGGUGGCGAAGGCGCUCUGCUGGACCAUAACUGACACUCAGGGACGAAAGCUAGGGGAGCGAAUGGGAUUAGAUACCCCCGUAGUCC
rnacentral:rRNA from 1 species